UACAGAGGGUGCGAGCGUUGUUCGGAAUUAUUGGGCGUAAAGGGCGCGUAGGCGGCGCCACAAGUCACUUGUGAAAACUCUGGGCUCAACUCAGAGCCUGCAAGCGAAACUGUGGUGCUGGAGUAUGGGAGAGGUGCGUGGAAUUCCCGGUGUAGCGGUGAAAUGCGCAGAUAUCAGGAGGAACACCCGUGGCGAAGGCGGCACUCUGGGACGGUACUGACGCUGAGACGCGAAAGCGUGGGGAGCGAACAGG
rnacentral:rRNA from 1 species